rnacentral:rRNA from 1 species
CAGGCCUAACACAUGCAAGUCGAACGGCAGCACGGGACCAUCCUGAUGGCGAGUGGCGAACGGGUGAGUAAUACAUCGGAACGUGCCCAAUCGUGGGGGAUAACGCAGCGAAAGCUGUGCUAAUACCGCAUACGAUCUGCGGAUGAAAGCGGGGGAUCUUCGGACCUCGCGCGAGUGGAGCGGCCGAUGGCAGAUUAGGUAGUUGGUGGGGUAAAGGCCUACCAAGCCUGCGAUCUGUAGCUGGUCUGAGAGGACGACCAGCCACACUGGGACUGAGACACGGCCCAGACUCCUACGGGAGGCAGCAGUGGGGAAUUUUGGACAAUGGGCGCAAGCCUGAUCCAGCCAUGCCGCGUGCAGGAUGAAGGCCUUCGGGUUGUAAACUGCUUUUGUACGGAACGAAAAGGCCUUUCUUUAAUAAAGAGGGCUCAUGACCGUACCGUAAGAAUAACCACCGGCUAACUACGUGCCAGCAGCCGCGGUAAU